UGCUCUGGUGGUGGAACUGGUAGACACGCAGGACUUAAAAUCCUGUUCCCGUUGAGGGAGUGCGGGUUCGAUUCCCCGCCCGAGCAU
rnacentral:tRNA from 1 species